rnacentral:rRNA from 1 species
CCCUUAGAUGUUCUGGGCCGCACGCGCGCUACACUGACGGAUUCAACGAGCUUACAACCUUGGCCGAAAGGUCUGGGUAAUCUCCAAAAUCCGUCGUGAUGGGGAUAGAUUAUUGCAAUUAUUAAUCUUCAACGAGGAAUGCCUAGUAAGCGCAAGUCAUCAGCUUGCGUUGAUUACGUCCCUGCCCUUUGUACACACCGCCCGUCGCACCUACCGAUUGAAUGGUCCGGUGAAGCCUCCGGAUUGGCGCGCACCUCGGUGCCGCCGAGAAGUUGGCUAAACCUUACCAUUUAGAGGAAGGUGAAGUCGUAACA